rnacentral:rRNA from 1 species
AAGGCGAUGGCUAAACUGCAGGUCGAACGCGAAAGGGGGCAACCCCAAGUAGAGUGGCGGAAGGGCGAGUAAUACGUUUCUAACGUACCCCAGACUCAGGGAUAGCUCGGUGAAAACCGGAUUAAUACCUGAUGACGCUGACGGGCCGCAUGGCCUGUCAGCCAAAGGCUUGCUGGUCUGGGAGCGGGGAACGUCCUAUCAGCUAGUUGGUGAGGUAACGGCCCACCAAGGCUUAGACGGGUAGCGGGUGUGAGAGCACGGCCCGCCGCAUCGGGACUGAGACACUGCCCGGACUCCUACGGGAGGCUGCAGUAACGAAUAUUCCACAAUGCGCGAAAGCGUGAUGGAGCGAUGCCGCGUGCAGGAUGAAGCCCUUCGGGGUGUAAACUGCUGUCAGGGUUUACCAACACAAUGAGGAGACCCAGAGGAAGAGACGGCUAACUCUGUGCCAGCAGCCGCGGUAAUACAGAGGUCUCGAGCGUUAAUCGGAAUCACUGGGCUUAAAGGGUGCGUAGGCGGUCUCGUAAGUGCUUUGUGAAAUCCCAUGGCUUAACCAUGGAAUUGCUUGGCAUACUGCGAGACUUGAGGUCGGUAGAGGUCGCUGGAACUCUAGGUGGAGCGGUGAAAUGCGUAGAUAUCUAGAGGAACGCCGAAGGUGAAGACAGGCGACUGGGCCGAUUCUGACGCUGAGGCACGAAGCGUGGGAGCGAACGGGAUUAGAUACCCCGGUAGUCCACGCCCUAACGAUGUACACUAGAUCGUGGAGGCU